AUUGAACGCUGGCGGCAUGCCUUACACAUGCAAGUCGAACGGCAGCACGGGAGCAAUCCUGGUGGCGAGUGGCGAACGGGUGAGUAAUGUAUCGGAACGUACCUUUCAGUGGGGGAUAACGUAGCGAAAGUUACGCUAAUACCGCAUAUUCUGUGAGCAGGAAAGCAGGGGAUCGCAAGACCUUGCGCUGAUUGAGCGGCCGAUAUCAGAUUAGCUAGUUGGUGAGGUAAAGGCUCACCAAGGCGACGAUCUGUAGCGGGUCUGAGAGGAUGAUCCGCCACACUGGAACUGAGACACGGUCCAGACUCCUACGGGAGGCAGCAGUGGGGAAUUUUGGACAAUGGGCGCAAGCUUGAUCCAGCCAUGCCGCGUGAGUGAAGAAGGCCUCGGUUGUAAG
rnacentral:rRNA from 1 species